rnacentral:rRNA from 1 species
CAGCAGCCGCGGGAAUACGUAGGGUGCAAGCGUUGUCCGGAAUUAUUGGGCGUAAAGAGCUCGUAGGCGGUUUGUCGCGUCUGCUGUGAAAUCCCGAGGCUCAACCUCGGGCUUGCAGUGGGUACGGGCAGACUAGAGUGCGGUAGGGGAGAUUGGAAUUCCUGGUGUAGCGGUGGAAUGCGCAGAUAUCAGGAGGAACACCGAUGGCGAAGGCAGAUCUCUGGGCCGUAACUGACGCUGAGGAGCGAAAGCGUGGGGAGCGAACAGGAUUAGAUACCCCAGUAGUCCCUGUCUCUUAUAC